rnacentral:rRNA from 1 species
UACAGGGGGUGCAAACGUUGCUCGGAAUCAUUGGGCGUAAAGCGCACGUAGGCGGUUCGUUAUGUCGGAUGUGAAAGCCCUUGGCUUAACCGAGGAAGUGCAUCCGAAACUGGCGAGCUAGAGUACGAAAGAGAAUCGCGGAAUUCCCGGUGUAGAGGUGAAAUUCGUAGAUAUCGGGAGGAACACCGGUGGCGAAGGCGGCGAUCUGGGUCGAUACUGACGCUGAGGUGCGAAAAGCGUGGGGAGCAAACAGG